rnacentral:rRNA from 1 species
GAUGAAUGCUGGCGGCGUGCCUAACACAUGCAAGUCGAGCGGGAGCGCGAGUAGUUUACUCCUUGGCGGCGAGCGGCGGACGGCUGAGUAACGCGUAGGAACGUUACCUAAAGGGAGGAAUAACUGACCGCAAGGGUUGCUUAUGCCGCAUAUGAUCUUCGGAUUAAAGUGUUCGGACGUUUGGGUAGCUGCCUGCGUUAGAUUAGGUAGUUGGUGAGGUAAUGGCGCACCAAGCCGACGAUCUAUAGCAGGUCUGAGAGGAUGAUCAGCCAGACUGGGACUGAGACACGGCCCAGACUCCUACGGGAGGCAGCAGUGAGGAAUAUUCCACAAUGGGCGAAAGCCUGAUGGAGCAACGCCGCGUGAAGGAUGAAGGCCCUAGGGUCGUAAAGUUCUUUUAUAAGUGAAGAAUAUGACGGUAACUUAUGAAUAAGCACCGGCUAACUACGUG